rnacentral:lncRNA from 1 species
AACCUCUGCCUCCCGGGUUCAAGUGAUUCUCCUGCCUCAGCCUCCCCAGUAGCUGGGAUUACAGACUACAAAGGCAUUUCUUCCUGCAAUGACGAAGAAUAACCAUGGCCAUAUUGUCACUGUGGCUUCGGCAGCUGGACAUGUCUCGGUCCCCUUCUUACUGGCUUACUGUUCAAGCAAGUUUGCUGCUGUUGGAUUUCAUAAAACUUUGACAGAUGAACUGGCUGCCUUACAAAUAACUGGAGUCAAAACAACAUGUCUGUGUCCUAAUUUCGUAAACACUGGCUUCAUCAAAAAUCCAAGUACAAGUUUGGGACCCACUCUGGAACCUGAGGAAGUGGUAAACAGGCUGAUGCAUGGGAUUCUGACUGAGCAGAAGAUGAUUUUUAUUCCAUCUUCUAUAGCUUUUUUAACAACAUUGGAAAGGAUCCUUCCUGAGCGUUUCCUGGCAGUUUUAAAACGAAAAAUCAGUGUUAAGUUUGAUGCAGUUAUUGGAUAUAAAAUGAAAGCGCAAUAAGCACCUAGUUUUCUGAAAACUGAUUUACCAGGUUUAGGUUGAUGUCAUCUAAUAGUGCCAGAAUUUUAAUGUUUGAACUUCUGUUUUUUCUAAUUAUCCCCAUUUCUUCAAUAUCAUUUUUGAGGCUUUGGCAGUCUUCAUUUACUACCACUUGUUCUUUAGCCAAAAGCUGAUUACAUAUGAUAUAAACAGAGAAAUACCUUUAGAGGUGACUUUAAGGAAAAUGAAGAAAAAGAACCAAAAUGACUUUAUUAAAAUAAUUUCCAAGAUUAUUUGUGGCUCACCUGAAGGCUUUGCAAAAUUUGUACCAUAACCGUUUAUUUAAC